rnacentral:lncRNA from 1 species
ACAGUCCCGAGCUCCUUUCUCCCUGCACGCGAGUAGCCACGCCGAGCGCCGCAUUUCACCGUCGCCAGAGCCUCUGCGCCAUCCUGUCCGCCGUCUGCGCCAGUGUCCGCCGCUGUUCAUCGACGCCAAGACGCUCCUGCCAUUCCUCGCCGUUGGAGCCGUUCACCGUCGACCGGAACUCCAAAGCCGACACCUUGUUCCGGCCGAAUCCCCCUGUCGCUAAGCCCCUGCUCGCCGAUCUUCCUCUCUCUGUACGCAAAGACCCAAGGUAGAAGAAGAAUGCUUUGCUGUCUAAUCCUUACAGAUAGAUUAUUUUGCGUGAGAUUAUUUCUCAAGAGUUAGUUAAUCGCGAUCUAACUUCUGUGGCGAAUGAUAAUUUUAGUUGUAUAUUUUCUUUUAGUGUGAAAAUCGGGUGUAUACCGAACGAUUAAUUUCAUAUGUAUGUGAUGAUCUAUUUUAAUUAGAGUAUGCUGUCUUUCGCCUUCGUGUACUUAAAUUUGAUUAUGAUUGUUGACAUUAAUUUAAACAUAGUUGGUUAGAGUAAAAGAUUAAGAGGAUAAGUAAACCGUAUAUUGGUAGCAAUGAUAUUAGAUGAAUAACUCUACGGUUGUCUUUGCUUAGAAUGAAUUAUAGUUUUUUUAGUUACAUCGUAUGUAUUCGUAUGUGCGAUUAUACACAAAUUUCUAGUCAUGCUAGAGUCUCGAUUAAUAAAAUAAUAUAGCGACUAUGUCCACUAUAAACUAAUAGUAGGAUUAAAUUGGUAGGUUAAUUUGGUUCUUUUAAUUAUCAAGGUUAUGAGACUUUUUAAAUAAGGUCGUAACGUCUACUAUAAUUUUCUUUUGAAAAAAAGAAAUAAUAAAAUAUUACCCACACCCUUCUCGGUAGAAAUACAAUAAUUAAUUGGUUAAUUUUCUAGAUUCUAUAAAGUUUGAAUUAGCGCCAUAUUUACGUAUUUUUUUAAAUGAAUCCAUAUAGUAUAUACUUCCAUAGUCAAUUUGCCAUAUAGUUUUCACUAGUGAAUUCUUGAAACAAAAAUUAGUAUUUCAUGUCAUAGCCAAUGAGAUGGUCGUUGAUGUGUUUUAUUUUAUUAUAGUUACAAAUUAAGUUUUCUUUUUGGAAUGCUUUUCUUUUAUAAGUAUGAUUUGUAAAGUGUAUGUUUCAUUGUUUGUUGAAUGGUGUAUGGUUAUUUAUUGGUGUAUGUUUUCUUUUAUUAUGUGUGAUGCGUGACUCUAUUAGAAGCCGACUGUGCGGUAGGCGAACCAAUCUCGUUCG